rnacentral:misc_RNA from 1 species
GAUGAAGAACGCAGCGAAAUGCGAUAAGUAAUGCGAAUUGCAGAAUUCAGUGAAUCAUCGAAUCUUUGAACGCACAUUGCGCCCUUUGGCAUUCCGAAGGGCAUGCCCGUUCGAGCGUCAUUACACCACUCAAGCCUCGCUUGGUAUUGGGCCCUCCGGGAGAUCCCCGGGCCUUAACUUACCCGGCUGGACGGACGGAAUCUCAGCGUUGUGGAAAAACUCGCUGGCGGGACCGUCCGGACGCGCCGCGAAUCAUUCUAUCACCAGGUUGACCUCGGAUCGGGUAGGGAUACCCGCUGAACUUAAGCAUAUCAAUAAGCGGAGGA